GGCUAAGGACUAAACCCAGUGCCUCACACAUACUAGGCGAGCACUCUAUCACGGAGCCCCAGCCAGCCCCAGCCCCUCCCUAUAGCUCAUUUCUGCUCCCUCAUAGUCUGUUCCUCACACUCAUUCAGCUCUUUCCUGCCCCAGGGCCUUUGCAUGCACUGUUCCUUUUGUCUGGAGCCUGGUUUCCCCCAGAGCUUGCGAGGUCAACUCCUCUCAUCAUCGAUGGCUCAACUCAAAUGCCAAUUUCUUCCUUCCUUGGUUCACAUGAUGGUUUUUGCUCCCUCUCCCCCAAAUGCACACUCCAUGAGGUCGGGGCUCCCCCCCUCACCACCACACACCAAAGGCAGGGUGUGCAACGUGCCCAGGGUGCCGCAAGCACUCACAGAGCGUUUGUUGAGUGGACUAUGGCAGUGGUAACAAAUGCCAUAUUCCCCCACGUGACUCGGAGCCUCGGGUAGAUAUUUCCAGCCCCUCUCCACGUUUGCCCUGUACCAUGGCUGCAUUUGAGGGUGAGCGGGUCGGCUCUCUGCACACCCCAGCGAGCCCCCUGCCCCCUUCGUGCCGUAAACAUCAGGACCAUUUGCUGAGAGUCUGGAGAGAAACGGAACCUGGCAACUGUCACCAGAGCCGAGCCACGUCCCUGCCCCUCCCAGAGCUGCCUCCAGUUGGCACCGGUCUCCUUGGCCACGUCCUGGGCUCUGGGACCCUGAGGCGGCUCUGGGAGUCGGGAGCGGGAAGCGCUGCCUUCCAGAUCUCCGUUUCUGACCCAGACCCACAUCUGGAAGCUCCUCUCUGGGGGAGAGGCGGGGAUUGGUGGGGACUUUGCCGGCCUUUCUCCUCCAGGCCAGCUGAGCGCUGAGUCGGGAAACGCAAACCUCGGCCAGACGUGAGCAGCCCUUCCCUUUGCUCUGGGGACUAGAGGCAGGCAGCCUGGCUCAGCCAUCACUGCAGAGAUGCCCGCUGUGAUGCUGGCCAGCUGUGCCCCCUCCCACCCCAGCAAGUCACUCGACCUCUCUGAGCCCUGGUCUCCUGGGGUGAUAAGCCAGAGGCCCCGCCUGGUGCUCACGGCUGCUUGCAGGAGCCCAGCGGCUCCAGGCACAAAGGACGCUCUGACAAGACACAGGCAGCCUCUCCCGCCGUUAGCCCAGAGCCCAGCUCGGGACGUUUCUAAAAAUAUGUUUUAUUGGAUUUUUCCUUCUGAGCCCCAGAAGCGAUAUCUAUGUCCCUCCCAACAAGCCCAUCAGCAGGGAGAAACGUGCUGCCCGGUGAGUGAGUGUUGAGUGACUGGAUGAUCCCGGGAGGCCCGGAAUUCUCUGCCACCUCUGUCAGUCUCCCAAUGGCCUCCACGGCAGGCGGGACACUGGACGGAAUGACAGGAGCACGUUCCACCCGCUGGGAGGGAGAGGAGCACCCAGAGAAGACGGUGACCCAACAGCACUGGGGGGCCUGGAGCUGGCCCUGGAUCUGGGUGUCCACGGGGCACUCACUUCCUGACACUGGUCCCAUGGUUGGCUCCCGAGCUGGGCACACUAACAAAGACACAUGUCACCCUUGUCCCUUGCCAAUGCCCCAAAGGGACAGGGGUGGGUCCAGCAGCACAGGUGAUACCAGGAAAUCUCAGUGUCCACGUCUGCAGAGUGAGGAGGGUAGGAAUGUCGCCUGCUGAGAUUUGCUCUGAGGACGAAGCUGAAGAAGAGGAGGUGGCCACGGAGCUCCGGCGCCACAGGUUCCCAAAGCUCCGC